AGAAGUUUAGGAUUAAGCUUAUUAACCGGUGGCUUUCAACUCCACAAAAAAGGGUAAACCCUUAGCUUCUG
rnacentral:tRNA from 1 species